GCCGGGCGCAGUGGCGUGCGCCUGUAAUCCAAGUUGCUGGGAGGCUUAGGCUGGCGGAUCGUUUGAGCUCAGGAGUUCUGAGCUCCAGUGGACUAUGCCGAUCGGGUGUCCGCACUAAGUUCGGUAUCGAUAUGGUGCUCCUGGGGAGCCCGGGACCACCAGGUCGUCUAAGGAGGGGUGCACCGGCCCAGGUCGGAAACGGAGCAGGCCAAAGCCCCCGUGCCGCUCAGUAGUGGGAUCGCGCCUGUGAAUAGACGCUGUGGUGCAGCCUGAGCAAUAUAGCGGGACACAGUCUUUU
ensembl:misc_RNA Metazoa_SRP Metazoan signal recognition particle RNA